rnacentral:lncRNA from 9 species
CUCAGAGAGAAAAGGAAUUCUCUAAAAAAUAGGUGACAUGUUAGGUAAAGAGUAGGUGAUAUAUAAACUAAAGUGUGUGGAUAACAGCAUGACAGGAAGAAAGAACAGCAAGUAUAAAAAUCCAGAGAUGAAAGAAACAUGACUGUUUCCAAUGGAUUUCUCUCAGUGGUUUGCUGAACUCUUCCCUAGCAAGCUACUCUGAAGUCAUUUGAGCCUUGCCCAGCAGAGGACUUUUAUGACCCACAUCCAUAGGCUGUUGAGCUCAGCUCAGGGAACUGCUCCAUCCUGACACCAAAGCUCUUCCAGGAUUACCUUAUGGAAUCAUUUGGAGUCAAAGAUGUUUUUGUUUGCCUCUUCUCCUCCCCCAUCCUGUCUCCACCCCUCCUCUGGAAUGUCUAACUACACCAGUCUGGAGGUGGGCCUGUACAUGCAGACAAUCCAGAAAGGAACCUUCCUGGUUUGUACAAGAUCUUAAAAAGGAAACAAUAUUCCACUGCUUACUUGCCAACAAAAGGGUGCAGCUGUGCUGCUUAACAGGCCAGAGUUCUACUUCUGAAAUUCUGCCCGGAAAAGUUAAGGACAAACAUAAGAACCCUUCAUCUGCAAGUGAAAUGAUCAUAGAACAUGCAAUACAUUUUAAGGUGAAUUUACCAUAGGAUUGAUCUUGGGAAGAACCAAAUGAUCAAUGAUAUUUUUAUGAAUCUAUAGGCGCAUCAUGCAUUAACAAACUGAAGAAGUGUCAAAAUGCUAAAGGAUGAGAGAGGACUUUACUUAUAAAUGUGAAUUCUGAAGUACCAUUAAUUUCUCUUCUUAAGAGAGAAAGAUACAAUGAAAUUGGUCCAGAUUCCAAAGAAUCUAUAGGUUACUUUAUUUUUGGAGUCAGUGAUUGAUGAGAAUAGGAAAAUAAUUUGUGAAGUCAUCAAACUAGCUUGUUAAAGGCUAGAUGUAAGCAGUGAAAUUAAAAUCAGUGAAUACCCUGGAUACUGUUGAUUCCACAAUAAAGGCUCUACAUAUACCAGGGACAGGGGC